rnacentral:lncRNA from 1 species
CCUCCGUGAGCCAAAAUUAGGCCGCGGCCAAAGCCGCGCCCAAAAAUAACCGCCCGAAGGCCGGGGCGCAAAGUUCGUCCAGCGGAAAAAGGCCACAAAAACGGGUGGGCUAUAGCCUUGGGGGGUGGGGCUGGCCAACUUCGUCCGCCGGACUCGGAAUGCUACGAGACUUUGCGAGGGGCCUCCGCAUGACAAAAAUAGGCCUCGGGCACAGCUGCACACAAAAAUAACUGCCCGAAGCACGGGGCGCCAAGUUCGUCCAGCGGAAAAAGGCAACAAAAACAGGUGGGCUAUAGCCUUGGGGGGUGGGGCUGGCCAACUUCGUCUGCCGGACCCGGAAUGGCGCGAGACUAUGCGAGGCACCUCCGUUUGCCAAAAAUAGGCCGUGGGCAAAGCCGAACCCAAAAAUAACCGCCCAAAGGCCAGGGCGCCAAGUUCGUCCAGCGGAAAAAGGCCACAAAAAUGGGUGGGCUAUAGCCUUGGGGGGUGGGGCUGGCCAACUUCGUCCGCUGGUCUCAGAAUGGUGCGAGACUUUGCGAGGCACCUCCGUGUGCCAAGAAUAGGCCGCGGGCACAGCCGCGCCCAAAAAUAACCGCCCGAAGGCCGGGGCGCCAAGUUCGUCCUGCGGAAAAAGCCCACAAAAACGGGUGGGCUAUAGCCUUGGGGGGUGGGGCUGGCCAACUUCGUCCGCUGGUCUGGAAAUGGCGUGAGACUUUGCGAGGCACCUCCGUGUGCCAAAAAUAGGCCGCGGGCACAGCCGCGCUAAAAAAUAACCGCCCGAAGGCCGGGGCGCGAAGUUCGUCCAGCGGAAAAAGGCCACCAAAACGGGUGGGCUAUAGCCUUGGGGGGUGGGGCUGGCCAUCUUCGUCCGGCGGACUAGGAAUAGCGCGAGACUUUGGGAGGUGCCUCCGUGUGCCAAAAAUAGGCCGCGGGCACAGCCGUACCCAAAAAUAACCGCCCGAAGGCCGGGGCGCCAUGUUCGUCCAUCGGAAAAAGGCCACAAAAACGGGUGGGCUAUAGCCUUUGGGUUUGGGGCAGGCCGACUUCGUCCGCCGGACUCGGAAUGGCGCGAGACAUUGUGAGGCCCCUCCGCGUGCCAAAAAUAGGCCUCGGGCACAGCUGCGCCCAAAAAUAACUGCCCGAAGCACGGGGCGCCAUGUUCGUCCAGCGGAAAAAGGCCACAAAAACGGGGGGGCUAUAGUCUUGGAGGGAGGGGCUGGCCGACUUCUUACGGCGAACCCGUAAUGGCGCGAGACNNNNNNNNNNNNNNNNNNNNNNNNNNNNNNNNNNNNNNNNNNNNNNNNNNNNNNNNNNNNNNNNNNNNNNNNNNNNNNNNNNNNNNNNNNNNNNNNNNNNUUGCCAAAAAUAGGCCGUGGGCAAAUCCGCACCCAAAAAUAACCGCCCGAAGGCCAGGGCGCCAAGUUCGUCCAGCGGAAAAAGGCCACAAAAACGGGUGGGCUAUAGCCUUGGGGGGUGGGGCUGGCCAACUUCGUCCGCCGGACUCGGAAUGCCGCGAGACUUUGCGAGGGGCCUUCGUGUGCCAAAAAUAGGCCGCGGGCAAUGCCACGCCCAAAAAUGACCGCCCGAAGGCCGGGGCGCCAUGUUCGUCCAGCGGAAAAAGGCCACAAAAACGGGUUGGCUAUAGCCUUGGGGGGUGGGGCUGGCCCACUUCGUCCGCCGGACUCGGAAUGCCGCGACACUUUACGAGGGGUCUUCACGUGCCAAAAAUAGGCCUCGGGCACAGCUGCACCCAAAAAUAAAUGCCCGAAGCAUGGGGCGCCAAGUUCGUCCAGCGGAAAAAUGCCACAAAAACGGGUGCGCUAUAGCCUUGGGGGGUGAGGCUGGCCAACAUCGUCCGCCGGACUCGGAAUGGCGGGAGACUUUGCAAGGCUCCUCCGUGUGCCAAAAAGAGGCCGUGGGCACAGCCGCGCCCAAAAAUUACAGCCCGAAGGCCGGGGCGCCAAGUUCGUCCAGCGGAAAAAGGCCACAAAAACGGGUGGGCUAUAGACUUGGGGGGUGGGGCUGGCCAACUUCGUCCGCCGGACUCGGAAUGCCGCGAGACUUUGCGAGGGGCCUCCAUGUGCCAAAAAUAGGCCUCGGGCACAGCUGCACCCAAAAAUAACUGCCCGAAGCACGGGGCACCAAGUUCGUGCAGCGGAAAAAGCCACAAAAACGGGUUGGCUAUAGCCUUGGGGGGUGGGGCUGGCCAACUUCGUCCGCCGGACUCGGAAUGCCGCGAGACUUUGCGAGGGGCCUCCGCGUGACAAAAUAGGCCUCGGGCGCAGCUACACCCAAUAAUAACUGCCCGAAGCACGGGGCGCCAAGUUCGUCCAGCGGAAAAAGGCCACAAAAACGGGUGGGCUAUAGCCUUGGGGUGUGGGGCUGGCCAACUUCGUCUGCCGGACCCGGAAUGGCGCGAGACUAUGCGAGGCACCUCCAUUUGCCAAAAAUAAGCCGUGGACAAAGCCGCGCCCAAAAAUAACCGCCCGAAGGCCGGGGCGCCAAAUUCGUCCAGCGGAAAAAGGCCACAAAAACGGGUGGGCUAUAGCCUUGGGUGGUGGGGCUGGCCAACUUCGUCCGCCGGACUCGGAAUGCCGCGAGACUUUACGAGGGGCCUCCAUUUGCCAAAAAUAGGCCGCGGGCAAAGCCGCGCCCAAAAAUAACCACCCGAAGGCUGGGGCGCCAAGUUCGUCCAGCGGAAAAAGGCCACAAAAACAGGUUGGCUAUAGCCUUGGGGGGUGGGGCUGGCCAACUUCGUCCGCCCGACUCGGAAUGCCGCGAGACUUUGCGAGGGGCCUCCGUGUGACAAAAAUAGGCCUCGGGCACACCUGCACCCAAAAAUAACUGCCCGAAGCACGGGGCGCCAAGUUCGUCCGGCGGAAAAAGGCAACAAAAACAGGUGGGCUAUAGCCUUGGGGGGUGGGGCUGGCCAACUUCGUCUGCCGGACCCGGAAUGGCGCGAGACUAUGCGAGGCACCUCCAUUUGCCAAAAANNNNNNNNNNNNNNNNNNNNNNNNNNNNNNNNNNNNNNNNNNNNNNNNNNNNNNNNNNNNNNNNNNNNNNNNNNNNNNNNNNNNNNNNNNNNNNNNNNNNGUUCGUCCAGCGGAAAAAGGCCACAAAAACGGGUGGGCUAUAGCCUUGGGUGGUGGGGCUGGCCAACUUCGUCCGCCGGACUCGGAAUGUCGCUAGAGUUUGCGAGGGGCCUCCGCGUGCCAAAAAUAGGCCUCGGGCACAGCUGCACCCAAAAAUAACUGCCCGAAGCACGGGGCGCCAUGUUCGUCCAGCGGAAAAAGGCCCCAAAAACGGGUGGGCUAUAGCCUUGGGGGGUGGGGCUGGCCGACUUCGUCCGCCAGACUCGGAAUGCCGCGAGACUUUGCGAGGGGCCUCCGUGUGCCAAAAAUAGGCCACGGACAAAGCCGCGCCCAAAAAGAACCGCCUGAAGGCCGGGGCGCCAAGUUCGUCCAGCGGAAAAAGCCCACAAAAACGGGUGGGAUAUAGCCUUGUGGGGUGGGGCUGGCCAACUUCGUCCGCUGGUCUCGGAAUGGGGUGAGACUUCGCGAGGCACCUCCGUGUGUCAAAAAUAGGCCGCGUGCAGAGCCGGGACCAAAAAGAACCGCCCGAAGGCCGGGGCGCCAAGUUCGUCCAGCGGAAAAAGCCCACAAAAACGGGUGGGCUAUAGCCUUGGGGGGUGGGGCUGGCCCCCUUCGUCCGCCAGACUCGGAAUGUCGCGAGAGUUUGCGAGGGGCCUCCGCGUGCCAAAAAUAGGCCUCGGGCACAGCUGCACCCAAAAAUAACUGCCCGAAGCACGGGGCGCCAUGUUCGUCCAGCGGAAAAAGGCCCCAAAAACGGUGGGCUAUAGCCUUGGGGGGUGGGGCUGGCCAACUUCGUCCGCCAGACUCGGAAUGCCGCGAGACUUUGCGAGGGGCCUCCGUGUGCCAAAAAUAGGCCACGGACAAAGCCGCGCCCAAAAAUAACCGCCCGAAGGCCGGGGCGCCAAGUUCAUACAGCGGAAAAAGGCCACAAAAACGGGUGGGCUAUAGCCUUGGGGGGUGGGGCUGGCCAACUUCGUCCGCCGGACUCGGAAUGCCGCGAGACUUUGUGAGGGGCCUCCGUGUGCCAAAAAUAGGCCGCGGGCAAAGCCGCGCCCAAAAAUAACCACCCGAAGGCCGGGGUGCCAAGUUCGUCCUGCGGAAAUAGCCCACAAAAACGGGAGGGCUAUAGCCUUGGGGGGUGGGGCUGGCCAACUUCGUCCCCCGGACUCGGAAUGGCGCGAGACUUUAUGAGGUGCCUCCGUGUGCCAAAAAUAGGGUACGGGCACAGUUGCGCCAAAAAAUAACCGCCCGAAGGCCGGGGCGCCAAGUUCGUCCAGCGGAAAAAGCCCAGAAAAACGGGUGGGCUAUAGCCUUGGGGGGUGGGGCUGGCCCACUUCGUCCGCCGGACUCGGAAUGGUGCGACACUUUGCACGGUGCCUCCGUGUGCCAAAAAUGGGCCGUGGGCACAGCCGUACCCAAAAAUAACCGACCGAAGGCCGGGGCGCCAAGUUCGUCUAGUGGAAAAAGCCCACAAAAACGGGUGGGCUAUAGCCUUGGGGGGUGGGGCUGGCCAACUUUGUCCGCCGGACUCGGAAUGGCGUGACACUUUGCAAUGCGCCCCUGAGCGCCAAAAAUAGGCCGUGGGCACAGCCGCGCCCAAAAAUAACCACCCGAAGGCCGGGGCGCCAAGUUCGUCCAGCGGAAAAAGGCCACAAAAACGGGUGGGCUAUAGCCUUUGGGGGUGGGGCUGGCCGACUUCGUCCGCCACACUCGAAAUGGCGCGAGACUUUGCGAGGCCCCUCUGUGUGCCAAAAAUAGGCCGCGGGCACAGCCGCGCCCAAAAAUAACCGCCCGAAGGCCGGGGCGCCAAGUUCGUCCAGCGGAAAAAGGCCACAAGAACGGGUGGGCUACAGCCUUGGGGGGUGGGGCUGGCCAACUUCGUCCGCCGGACUCGGAAUGGCGCGAGACUUUGCGAGGCACCUCUGUGUGCCAAAAAUAGGCCGCGGGCACAGCCGCGCCCAAAAAUAACCGCCCGAAGGCCGGGGCGCCAAGUUCGUCAGGCGGAAAAAGGCCACAAAAACGGGUGGGCUAUAGCCUUGGGGGGUGGGGCUGGCCAACUUCGUCCGCCGGACUCGGAAUGGCGCGAGACUUUGCGAGCGGCCUCCGUGUGCGAAAAAUAGGCCGCGGGCAUAGCCGUGCCAAAAAAUAACUGCUCGAAGGCUGGGAUGCCAAGUUCGUCCAGCGGAAAAAGGCCAUGAAAACGGGUGGGCUAUAGCCUUGGGGGGUGGGGCUGGCCAACUUCGUCCGCCGGACUCGGAAUGGUGCAAGACUUUGCGAGCGGCCUCCGUGUGCCAAAAUUACGCAGCGGGCACAGCCGCGCCCAAAAAUAACUGCCCGCAACCCUGGGCGCCAACUUCGUCCAGCGGAAAAAGGCCACAACAACGGGUGGGCUAAAGCCUUGGGGGGUGGGGCUGGCCAACUUCGUCCGCCGGACUCGGAAAGGCGCGAGACUUUGCGAGCGGCCUCUGUGUGCGAAAAAUAGGCCGCGGGCACAGCCGUGCCCAAAAAUAAUUCGAAGGCCGGGGCGCCAAGUUCGUCCAGCGGAAAAAGGCCACGAAAACGGGUGGGCUAUAGCCUUGGGGGGUGGGGCUGGCGCACUUCGUCCGCCAGACUCUGAAUGGCGGUAGACUUUACGAGCGGCCUCCGUGUGCCAAAAAUAGGCCGCGGGCACUGCCGCACCCAAAAAUAACAGCCCGAAGGCCGGGGCGCCAAGUUCGUCCAGCGGAAAAAGGCCACAAAAACGGGUGGGCUAUAGCCUUGGGUGGUGGGGCUGGCCAACUUCGUCCGCCGGACUCGGAAUGGCGCGAGACUUUUCGAGUGGCCUCCGUGUGCCAAAAAUAGGCUGCGGGCACAGCUGCACCCAAAAAUAACCGCCCAAAGGCCGGGGCGCCAAGUUCGUCCAGCGGAAAAAGGCCACAAAAACGGGUGGGCUAUAGCCUUGGGGGGUGGGGCUGGCCAGCUUCGUCCGCCGGACUCGGAAUGGCGCGAGACUUUGCGAGCGGCCUCUGUGUGCCAAAAAUAUGCCGCGGGCACAGCCGCGUCCAAAAAUAACUGCCCGAAAGCCUGGGCGCCAACUUCGUCCAGCGGAAAAAGUCGACAAAAACUGGUGGGCUAUAGCCUUGGGGGGUGGGGGCUGGCCAACUUCGUCCGCCGGACUCGGAAUAGCGCGAGACUUUGGGAGCAGCCUCCGUGUGCGAAAAAUAGGCCGCGGGUACAGGCGUGCCCAAAAAUAACUGCUCCAAGGCCGGGGCGCCAAGUUCGUCCAGCGGAAAAAGGCCACGAAAACGGGUGGGCUAUAGCCUUGGGGGGUGGGGCUGGCCAACUUAGUCCGCCGGACUCGGAAUGGCGUGAGACUUUGUGAGGGGCCUCCCUGUGCCAAAAACAGGCCACGGUUACAGCUGCACCCAAAAAUAACCGCCCGAAGGCCGGGCUGCCAAGUUCGUCCAGCGGAAAAAGGCCACGAAAACGGGUGGGCUAUAGCCUUGGGGGGUGGGGCUGGCCGACUUCGUCCGCCGGACUCGGAAUGGCACGAGAGUUUGUGAGGCGCCUCCGUGUGCCAAAAAUAGGACCCGGGCACAGCCGCGCUCAAAAGUAACCGCCCGAAGGCCGGGGCGCCAAGUUCGUCCAGCGGAAAAAGGCCACGAAAACGGGUGGGCUAUAGCCUUGGGGGGUGGGGCUGGCCAACUUGGUCCGCCGGACUCAGAAUGGCGUGAGACUUUGCGAGGGGCCUCCCUGUGCCAAAAACAGGCCGCGGGUACAGCCGCACCCAAAAAUAACCACCCGAAGGCCGGGCCGCCAAGUUCGUCCAGCGGAAAAAGGCCACAAAAACAGGUGGGCUAUAGCCUUGGGGGGUGGGGCGGGCCAACUUCGUCCGCCGGACUCGGAAUGGCGCGAGGCUUUGCGAGCGGCCUCCAUGUGCCAAAAAUACGCCGCGGGCACAGCCGUGCCCAAAAGUAACUGCCCGAAAGCCUGGGCGCCAACUUCGUCCAGCGGAAAAAGUCCACAAAAAAGGGUGGGCUAUAGCCUUGGGGGGUGGGGCUGGCCCACUUCGUCCGCCGGACUCGGAAUGGCGCGAGACUUUGCGAGCAGCC